rnacentral:lncRNA from 1 species
AAAUGGCAGUGGCAGCUGCAUUCUGGGUUCCUCGGCUGUGGGGUCAGUCCAAUCCCAAAUUGGAGCAGCCACGUCAAGUGGUAUCUAUGGCUAGGAGGGCUCAGCUAGUAUGUGGAAGACCCUCACCUAUUUUGUUGUGCUUCCUCGGGUGGGAGUGAGCAUGAUAAUUGUUUUCUUGAAGUUGCAUCGUGGAGAGCACAGGAGACCUGAGUUGAUUCCUUACCCCCAUCUCUGCAUUAGAUCCAAAUCUUUUCCUUGAGGAGAUGGUAACCAUACUGUAUUUCAUAACCUUCAUGUGAAUCUGUUUCUAACUGCCUAUGAAGAUGAA